UUUUCAUAAUAAAUUCCCCUUUAUAGGUGGCUGACACACGGGCCCAGCCGGCAGCCCUGGGGAAUUUGUGGGGAGCAAGAAAGGGGUGAAGGAAUGCACGUUUGCCGUAAUUACAGGGUUUUAAGGUAACACUGAAAUUAAUUUCUUCAAAGUUGGGUUUCAGAGGCCAUGGUGGUCUCUGUAGGCCAGCACUGUGUUCGUUUUAUUUUAGUUCGUUGGUUCUAGUUAUUGGGGAUUUUAAAAUGCAUGUUUGUACCUGCGUGUACCUGUCCUGUUAAAAUGAAACCCGUAACAGGAGGGGAUUAAGCCCGCUUUUUAAUAUGACCGUCUCGCAGGUGUGAUUUCCCCUUUCCGCUCCCUCACCGUAUUGAUGUGGUUUGGAUAACCUUGCUGCGUGCUUUGACCACAAAAUAAUGGGGAGGGGAGCCUGUUUCCAUAACACCCCAGAGCUGUGAGCUGGCACUUGGAGGCUGUGUUUCCGGGAACGUGGACAGAGGCCCGAGUCGCCCAGGCCUGCCUCAAGCCUCCCUUUCCCCGGGUGUCCAGAUCUGGGGCCAGAAGCCAGAGGAAGCAGGAGACCAUUCCGAUGAGGUCUUUGCCCACCGGGCCCCCACCCGGAGGCUCAAAGUUGGCUUCCUCCGGUCAUGCGUUCCUCGCCGUAUUUUUUGCGAGGCCAUCACACACACGCACACUCCCCCCCUCCCCUGUCCCCCGUUUGGGAUUUGUAGUUAUGACUUUAUCAGAGGCAGUGAGCAGACAUGAAACCCCCGGGGUGGGACAUUCAGGAGUGAUCUCGGAAGCGGGGGCGCAGCUGCCGAAGGGGCGCCGCUCCAGCCGGGAGCCGCUGCUUGCCGUGGCAUCGGCCGUGACGGGGUGAGUCAUUUUCAAAAGCCCAAGUUCCGCCAGGGCCUUGCCUGUAAAAUGCAGAAUUUAUUUUUGAGGAGCUGCACACAAGAGCGAGGUUCUGAAAAUGAAACUGGUGCCCUUCUGUUCUUUAUCGCUGGAUUUCAUAGAAGGAAUGUGCCAAGUAGGGGACAGGGUCUUAGGAGCUGUGGCGGGCNCGGGAGGAUAGCCCUGGUGUUCCUGUUUUUGUUUGCAAUCAGGGCGAGCCCAGAGUGGCCCCUGGCCUGCCUUGGGGCCCUGCCACACCCAUUCUCUGGCCACUUGAUGCCCCGGAUCCUGGCCUCAAGGUCUCCGCAGGGAGAUGGGGGUGGUGGCUGACCGCUCAGCUCGUGCAGGGCGGCAACGAGGCUCCGACCAUGGCCAGGUCUCACGUGCCGCCUGAACAGGUGCAGAUGGCGUUUUGCUUUGCUCAGCAGGAGCAGCGGGGAGCCCUGCAGCAGGGUUACGCUUGGGUCCCUAUGGUUUGCACCUGACCGGGGCCCACACUGUGAUCCGGUCUCAUUUGUUCCUAUCCUCAGCGUGGCAUGGACAAGGCCCAACGGGAAGACAGGCUUGGGGGGGAUCUGGGGGGAGGGGCCGGAGGGCUGUGCCCACCCCAACGGGCACCCAGCCUGGGUGAGCGCUCCUUGGUGCCCAGGGAAACCGCCAUGUGCCCCCAGUGAAGGACAGUGCACGAGAAGGGAAAGGAGCCCCCAGGGGCCAGGCAGGAAAACAUCUUCAGACUAUCACGAUAGGUGGUUUUCGGGCUGGGAGGGUGUCUUGGCAUGUUUGGGGAGGACAGAGGAUAUGUUGCAGAAAUCCCGCUAAGCUGGGCGUGGGGGUUAAGUUCACGGCCAGGCAGCUCCAAUUCCGGCCCCUGCCCUGGGGGCUGGCCGUGUGACCCUGGACAAGUCACAUCACCUCCUGGGACUGUACCCCAAGCUCUAGAGCAGGGAUCAUAUUCACAGCGACCUCAGAGGGUCGUUGGGCAAGGUCAGAUGACGCUCUUUGCACCAAACGCGGUUCCUGGCAUGUGCCGGGGACGCCGUAAGUGGCCAUUGUUGUAGUGGUUUUUGUUGUAAAAUGGUAAUCGCCAUUUUUCUUGCUAGUUCUUAUAUUUUCGAGUUUCUAAGAAACAGAGAACGCAGUUUGGGUUUCACUAGAAGGGACACCUGUGGGUUUACCUCCCCCCUCUCCCGCCGCCUCCUCCC
ensembl:lncRNA